UACGGAGGAGGCAAGCGUUAUCCGGAAUGAUUGGGCGUAAAGCGUCCGCAGGUGGCAGUUCAAGUCUGCUGUCAAAGACCGGGGCUUAACUUCGGAAAGGCAGUGGAAACUGAACAGCUAGAGUAUGGUAGGGGCAGAGGGAAUUUCCGGUGGAGCGGUGAAAUGCGUAGAGAUCGGAAAGAACACCAACGGCGAAAGCACUCUGCUGGGCCGACACUGACACUGAGAGACGAAAGCUAGGGGAGCGAAUGGG
rnacentral:rRNA from 1 species